rnacentral:rRNA from 1 species
GGAGGGUGCGAGCGUUAAUCGGAAUUACUGGGCGUAAAGAGUGCGUAGGUGGUUAAUUAAGUUAUCUGUGAAAUUCCUGGGCUUAACCUGGGCAGGUCAGAUAAUACUGGUUAACUCGAGUAUGGGAGAGGGUAGUGGAAUUUCCGGUGUAGCGGUGAAAUGCGUAGAGAUCGGAAGGAACACCAGUGGCGAAGGCGGCUACCUGGCCUAAUACUGACACUGAGGCACGAAAGCGUGGGGAGCAAACAGGAUUAGAUACCCUGGUAGUCCACGCUGUAAACGAUGUCAACUAGCUGUUGGUUAUAUGAAGAUAAUUAGUGGCGCAGCAAACGCGAUAAGUUGACCGCCUGGGGAGU